rnacentral:lncRNA from 1 species
GCAACCUGAAGUUGAUAUGAAAGUACAUUUAUUUAAAUAUUAAAAAGAAAAAUGGAUGUAAGGUGUACAACUAACUUUUUUGAUAAAUAGUGGUGGUGAAGUUAAAUGAUGUUCAAUCGCAAGGUUCCAAGUAAACAAUUUUGCUGCUGAGAUGUUCUUGUAUAACAUUAUCCAUCCACUUAUAAGUGGGGUUGGUCUUCCCUUUAAUUUCCUAAAAGAUGUCGAAUUGAUUCAUUGUUCUUUCUUUUUCUGGUUCCUUCAGUUGGUACUAUUGAAUUCUUUUGAUAAAGCAAUCAAAGCAAAUAGGCGGGUCCGAAAUACAAGUUUUUCUUUUUCCUCAACUCACAACAUUUACUCCAAUUACUACAUUAUUUUUUGUAAAUAGUAGUAAUACUAAUAUAUGCUCUCAUGUGCCGUCACAAAAAGUCGACACGAGCAUUUUCA